GAUGUUGUCACCAGUUUGUAAUGAGGUAGGAUGUUGCCACCAGUGGGUAAUGAGGUAGGAUGUUGCCACCAACGGGUAAUAAGGUAGGAUGAUGUCACCAGCGGGUAAUGAGGUAGGAUGUCGCCACCAGUCUGUAAUGAGGUAGGAUGUCACCACCAGCGGGUAAUGAGGUAGGAUGUCGCCACCAGUGGGUAAUGAGGUAGGAUGUUGUCACCAGCGGGUAAUGAGGUAGGAUGUUUCCACCAGUUUGUAAUGAGGUAGGAUGUUGGCACCAGUGGGUAAUGAGGUAGGAUGUUGUCACCAGCGGGUAAUGAGGUAGGAUGUUGCCACCAGUGGAUAAUGAGGUAGGAUGUUGACAACAGUUUGUAAUGAGGUAGGAUGUUGCCACCAGUGGGUAACGAGGUAGGAUGUUGUCACCAGUGGGUAAUGAGGUAGGAUGUUACCACCAGUGUAUAAUGAGGUAGGAUGUUGCCACCAGCGGGUGAUGAGGUAGGAUGUUGUCACCAGUGGGUAAUGAGGUAGGAUGACGCAACCAGCGGGUAAUGAGGUAGGAUGUUGUCACCAGUGGGUAAUGAGGUAGGAUGACGCCACCAGCGGGUAUUGAGGUAGGAUGUUGUCACCAGCAGGUAAUGUAGUAGAAAACACAAUAGCCUGGAUCCCUUUAAGUAGUAGAAAACACAUGACAGACAUGGAGCAAAUCUGACAUUUGAACACUAGCAAUGACAUCAGACCUAACACAAUCUGUGUCACACACACACACACACACACACACAACCACACACACACACACACACACAAACGCCCCAUGACUCCGUGACUCCCUUUCUGAUCUGGCAAAAUCGAC
ensembl:lncRNA